rnacentral:sRNA from 2 species
AAGAGUUAUAAGUUUAUUCCCGAUAGGAUUCACAAUUGUGUGAAGAAGCCUUGUAACCAAAACAAUUAGGGGGAAAUCGAAAUG